AGCAGCCGCGGUAAUUCCAGCUCCAAUAGCGUAUAUUAAAGUUGUUGCAGUUAAAAAGCUCGUAGUUGAACCUCGGGAUCAAUUGAUUGGUCAUGCCAUUGGUGUGUACUGGUCAUAUUGGUUCUCACCUUCUAAGGAACCUUAAUGUCAUUAAUUUGAUGUUUUGGGGAAUUAGGACUGUUACCUUGAAAAAAUUAGAGUGUUUAAAGCAGGCUAACGCUUGAAUACAUUAGCAUGGAAUAAUGAAAUAGGACAUCGCAUUCUAUUUUGUUGGUUUCUAGGAUCGAUGUAAUGAUUAAUAGGGAUGUUGGG
rnacentral:rRNA from 1 species